rnacentral:rRNA from 1 species
AUGAAGCUGGAAUCGCUAGUAAUCGCGGAUCAGAAUGCCGCGGUGAAUACGUUCCCGGGUCUUGUACACACCGCCCGUCACACCAUGGGAGUCGGAAAUGCCCGAAGUCUGUGACCCAACCUGCAAGGGAGGGAGCAGCCGAAGGCAGGUCGGAUGACUGGGGUGAAGUCGUAACAAGGUAGC